rnacentral:rRNA from 1 species
GAUGAACGCUGGCGGCGUGCUUAACACAUGCAAGUCGAACGAGAAGUGAAGACGGAAACCUUCGGGCGGAAGGCUUUAUUUCGAGUGGCGGACGGGUGAGUAACGCGUGGGUAACCUGCCUCAUACAGGGGGAUAACAGUUGGAAACGACUGUUAAUACCGCAUAAGACCACAGCACCGCAUGGUGCGGGGGUAAAACUCCGGUGGUAUGAGAUGGACCCGCGUUCGAUUAGCCAGUUGGCGGGGUAACGGCCCACCAAAGCGACGAUCGAUAGCCGAUCUGAGAGGAUGACCGGCCACAUUGGGACUGAGACACGGCCCAAACUCCUACGGGAGGCAGCAGUGGGGAAUAUUGCACAAUGGGGGAAACCCUGAUGCAGCGACGCCGCGUGAGUGAAGAAGUAUUUCGGUAUGUAAAGCUCUAUCAGCAGGGAAGAAAAUGACGGUACCUGAGUAAGAAGCCCCGGCUAACUACGUG